GUGGGGAAUAUUGGACAAUGGGGGGAACCCUGAUCCAGCCAUGCCGCGUGUGUGAAGAAGGCCUUUUGGUUGUAAAGCACUUUAAGCGAGGAGGAGGCUACCGAGAUUAAUACUCUUGGAUAGUGGACGUUACUCGCAGAAUAAGCACCGGCUAACUCUGUGCCAGCAGCCGCGGUAAUACAGAGGGUGCAAGCGUUAAUCGGAUUUACUGGGCGUAAAGCGUGCGUAGGCGGCUUUUUAAGUCGGAUGUGAAAUCCCCGAGCUUAACUUGGGAAUUGCAUUCGAUACUGGGAAGCUAGAGUAUGGGAGAGGAUGGUAGAAUUCCAGGUGUAGCGGUGAAAUGCGUAGAGAUCUGGAGGAAUACCGAUGGCGAAGGCAGCCAUCUGGCCUAAUACUGACGCUGAGGUACGAAAGCAUGGGGAGCAAACAGGAUUAGAAACCCGUGUAGUCC
rnacentral:rRNA from 1 species